AAAAAAAUAAAAAAAAAUGAUAUACAUGUAAAAUAAGUAUUUUAUAAGGAUAUAUAUUUAAAUAUUAAUUUUGAAAGGAUAUUCACAUAAAUUUGAAUAUUUAGGAAGGUAUACAUGCAAAAAAAUCUAAAAAAAAGAUAAAAAAUAUUUUUUUAGGAGAAACUUUAUUUUGUAUUUUAGAAAAAAAAUUAAGGAUUAUUAUUUCUAAGAGAAAGGAAGGCCUACCUAUAUGAUAUUUAUCCAAGUCUAGAUUUUUAAGGAUAUACCAUCAAAAAUUAAAGUCGACCUCCAAUUAUUAAGCAAACUUAGGGAUGGCAAUGGAUCGGGUAUGGAUCGGAUUGAUUGAUACCCAUAUCCAUCCUGCCAGCAAAAAAUUCAUACCCACCUCGUACCCCUCUCGGAUCGGAUUAGGUCGGAUUGGGCUCCAAGAACAAAUCAGAUUGGAU
rnacentral:lncRNA from 1 species